rnacentral:lncRNA from 1 species
AUUAAUUGUGUUUCAGCUGCUGUGUCAAACACAGUUUCAGAGACGAAGGGGAGAAGGCUUUGCAUGGGAUGUAGGGAAGGGGGUGAUCCUAAGACUCUUCCCGACCCCCUUGCUCAGAGAUCUCCUCUUGGGUUGCAGAAACUGGCGUAAUGUUGUCCCGGUGCCCGAGUCAGGUCACACAAAGGAGAUUGGGACAAUAGCUGGAGUGGAUUACUCAUUCCCGUAGGCAAUACUUCCCUGUAUGGGCUUCAGGAUGCAGUUGGAAGCUUGGGAACAAAGCGGGCAUCGAAUGUCAAGAAAGAUUAAUUUCAUCUCUCCUAUCCUGGGCCCAUUUUCUGUCAGUGAAGGGAUAUAAUAAUGAUCAAUGCACAGUACUUCUCAUAUCUUUUGUACUUGGUAAAUAUUUGUAAUAUUUUGGAUGUGGAAGGGAGGUGAAGAGAUGAGCCCAAUCUCAGCUUCAGAGGAUCCUCAUGAGUUCUCACAUAGAGGGAGGAAAAAUCCAAACAACCAAGCCAACCUGUUCAGAAGACCCUCCAGCCCAAAACUACAGUCAUGCAGGAUCCUUUUGAGGAAGAAAUAGUUCUGCUAGGACUCCAUACUUGGACUUUGAAGGGCAUGGCACAGUGGUCUGAUAUGAGAGCACUAUCCUCGCAGAAGGAAACUCUCCUCUGUAUCCUGUGCCUUGCAGGGGAGGCAGCGAGAGGACACUUGAAGUAUCCAAGCAUCUGGCAUCAAGCCUGACAAUCCACUUCACACUAUGUGAAGGAAAGUUUGUUCCAAACCACAUACUUUGUGGUGCUUGAUACUGGUGUCAAACUGGU